ensembl:lncRNA
UAAAAGUAAAAUUCCAUUUUGGGUAUCUAUUGAAACCCCUAAUAACUUAAGUUCUGUUGUUAUUGUUUAUUUCCUUCAAAUACAGUCAUUCUUUCACCAUUUUGAUUUUCUAAGCUAGGUAGAAAGAGAGAUUAAUUUAUGUUUUCCUGUUCUGAAUAAAACCAGAAAGCCACUGUUUUAGACUGACUUAAAAUAGUCUCUCUUUUUAAGGUAUUUUCAUGGAGUGAGGAUGGGGGAUCUCUUAAAUUAGCCUUAAUUCUGUCUAUACCUCUCUAAUACUCCACCCUUGAGAGGAAAUCUGGGUGGGUAGAACAGCAAGAGGAAGGUAUACUGUCCCACUGUGCCUGUAAGAUGAACCUAUAGUGGUCAAUGGCCUGUUUUGGCAAAACCGUUUGACUUUUUAACUGCUUUUUUCUUAAAAUCUGUGAAAGAUACUGACUUUUCUGGCUUCUUAGAUUUAUUCCCCGAGACAGUUAAAACGAUGAAGCCAGUCAGAUAGGAAAUUCCAUCUUUAGGCUUUUUACUUAUUCAAAUGUUAAUUUCUUCUGAAUUAAAAGGCAAUACUCAGACAUCUGAUGGAAGUGAACACUUUUGAAGGGUUAAGGUAGGAGUAAUAAGCAUUGCUUUCAGUUCUGUUUGGAUAACACCAUAAUUUUAUUAUAACCAGAGUAUAAAAGUACUUUGACCUUUUCUUUAUUCAGUGGGUCUUAGGAAAAGGGUAGAAGAACUGAGAAUAAGAUAUCUAGACUCAAUUUUCUGACCUAUAUGUAGUUUUUUCUUCUUACAGAUACUGUCAUAAGUUCAAUAGCUGCCAUGUCUUGGGUAAUUUACAGAGGCUGACAUGACCAAAGAUCCAUUCCUUGUUACUUUUCUAAUCAAAAGAAAAAUUAGUUAUAGGUUUCUAGUAAUAUUCAAAUAGUAAGACACUAUUUUUAAUACCAGCUACAAAAUAGUUAACUACUCAGAAAGUAUAAAAAUAUAUUUCAUACAGCAUUAAUAUGGCUAAUUUCCUUUUCCCAUUUUAUUUCCCUUUCCUUCUCCUAGUCUUUCCCUUUUUUUUUUUUUUUCGGUCUGAAAGACCUAAAAUUGGUAUGAUUCUCAUUUGCUAUCUUGAAUAUGUAACUCCAUCAGAUUUUCCAUAGGUCUUCAAAGUUGGAGCUUAAAGUUUGUUUUUUUUCUUUUUUCUCUGGCCCUUCUCUGUCUUGCAAAUUCCCCUUGAUUUACCCACUGCCCUCCCCAAUCUGCAACAGUAACAGUUUGCUGCCUCAAAACAGAGCAUUCAAAUGAAUUCGCUUAGCCAAUAACUUCUGUGAAGUUGCCUUUUCUAAUGGUGUUAUUACUCAGUGAUGCACAAAUGUGGUAUUUGCCCUACUGGUAGGCAAACAAAGGUCUGAUUAGGAAUGGUAACCUGCUGUUUUCUUUAAAGGAGAGCCAAAGACUUGUGCUUUACUCUGUUUUGGUUUGGGAGGAAAUAGUAGCCAUUUUGAUUGUGAAACCUCUUGGUAUUCAUGAGUUGAUUAUACUGUGUAGGGAGAUAUAUCUAAAGUUAACUUUUAAAGUUAGCUAGCCUUAUAAGAUAUAAAAGUAAUGAAAAUCCAUUAGUUUUUCUAAAACCAUGAAUGUCAUCUUUUAUAGUAUUGUGUGUAAGCAGGUCCUCCCCCAUAUACUGAGAUUGUCUUGUUAUGAUAGCUUGUUAUAUUUUUAUUAUUUUACUUGUGCCUAUAGGACAGUCUACUGUCAGUAUGAUCAAGUCUUGGGACUGAGUAAAAGAAUCCAUGAACAUGUGAUUGGUGAAAAAUAAUUAACUGUAGUUAGUACCUGUUAGAUUAUAUUCAGAUUCAGAGAAAAAGAUUCUUUUCACUAAAGAUAAAGAGUACUCGGUUGCUGUUGCUUAUAUAUAAAUGGUGAUAGACGGAGAUCUAACCAUCUCUUUUCUGCUUUCUUUUUGCUCAUUUUAAAGAGUUGAGUAAAGGUUUCAUGUAUAAACUGUGUCUGUGAAAAGCACUUGUAAUGUUUUAUAUGUCAUUAAAAGGCCCAGUUACUUUUUAGGGGAAAUUAAGAACCUGUCUGCAAAGUAACUGCAGUGUUUACUUAGAUUUUUACCCUAAAAGUCCAAUUGUGUUUUGUUGUUAUUGAUGAUAGAUGAUUAUUGUGUUUGCAAGGUGAUAUCUUCCUGAAAAAUCUGCCUAUCCUUUUAGGUAAAAAUUAGGGCAUAUUUUAUGUUCUACAUUAGGGAUUGAAAAAGUAAGCAGUCUACUGCUGUCGUCAUUUUACCUGACUGCGCAUUUUGCUGGCCUAUAUGCACACUUUUCUGCCUUGGACAACUAUGGUUUUUAUAUUUAUUUGUGGCUUCAACUCAGCUUUAUGAAAUUUUCCUGCUGAAAUUACUUAUUGGGAAUUACAGGUGGAUUGCAGUUAAUAUAUUUUUUAAAAUUCUUAUUUCAACUUUACUGAACCACUUGGAAAAAGAAAGAUGUUUUUGUCAAAAGACACUAUUAUAGUAAAUGCCAGCUACAAUUUGAUUCUUAAGAUUUUCUUUGCUAAAGAUGUUUCCACAUGUUUUAGAUUCUAACUGAUAGUAACACUAGCAGCAACCUUACUUAAUAAAAAAACUGCCACCACCAAGAAGUAACACCUUUUAAUAAUAAAUAUGUUCCCAAUGGGUGAGCUUUCAAUACUGCACUGAACAAAGUGGGUAAAGAUCCCUUUGAAAUCCUAUUGUGAUAAAGGGACUAACCUCACCACUGGAAUUACAGAGCUUGUGAGUUUUCAGCCAAACACUGAACUUCCCCUAAACUUUAUUCCUGAGCAGAACAUCCCUAGAUUAAUAACAGUUAUUUUCAAAAGAAAAUAAGGCGCAAUAACCCAAGAGAGAGAGAGAACUUAAAAUAAGCCUCACGACAAAAUAUUGUGUCCAAAAUAUGUAUUUAGAAAAAUAAAAUCCUGUGGAGUUUGUUAUCCUAAUGUAUGUUAUAUACUAGAUAAGGUGAUUUGUUUUCUUGUAUUGAGGUCUCAUUGUUUCUAGUUGGGGUUUUUUGUGGUUUUUUCUUUUCUUUUCUUUUCUUUUUUUUGGUUUUGUUUUGUUUUUAAUUUAAACUCUUAAGUAGACAGAGCUCACAAGUCUUUGGCAUCCAUUCUAGGUUGUACACUCAAGAGUCAUCUUAUAACUGGAAACUGUCAGGUGGCCCCCUACUUCAGCUCCAGCUGAUGUAUGAAAGGAUCAAGAAAAGAAUGGAAGCAAACUAUUGGGUAGAUAAUCAGUAGCUUUUUUUUUUUUUUUUUUUUAAGAAAUCACCAUUUAUUAGCAUAAUCUUUCUCCACUAAUUGACUGCCAUUCUCACAAUAAUAUUUGAGCCACCCUGUAAUAUGUUCCUCUCAUUUCAAGGCGUUUUAAGCUUUUGCUUAUCAUGUUUACAUCCUCUGUUCAACUAAGACACUGUUCUGAGAGCUACUUUUUCCAAGUAGAUUGUUGCCUAAAUUUCCUUUAUUUCUUCUUCAUCCUUUCUCUUCUUCCUACAUUCUGGGAAUGAAAGGAUCUUAGAGGAGAAAAGUUGAUUUUUUUUCCCCUCAUUGAUGCAUAGGCUUCAUUAUUUUACUUUAUAGUAAAUCUAUGACUUUUUAGAACAACAGAAAUGGAAGAAGUGAAUUAAGAUAAUGAACAAAACCUUUCACCCACUUAAACAUUUUCCAGUUGUGAGAUUCCUCUUCUUGUGUGUGGUCUCUUCCCCUUGUUACCUCUCUUCCCUUUUUCCCCUGACUACAGUCAAUUUGGUCUUUAGGCUCAUACCAGUCUCCCCGAGACAUUCUGCAGUCAUUAUCACCUUUUUGGGUGGAUUUUAUUUUGUUUGUUUGUUUUUUAAUAACUUUUUAAUAUUGAUGCAUAUUUGCUUGGGAUAGAGCUUGUGUAAUUUACCAAUCGUAUUGAUUGUAUGUGAUUGUGCCCUGCAGAGGUAUAUUUAACAAGACAAAAAUAAUGUAGGUUAUAAAUGACCAUGAAAUCAUUUACAGUUUGAAUAGUGAAAAUUUAUGUCUCCUAUUCUUAAAUUAGUGCUAGACAGAAUAUCAUUUUUAAAAGUUUUUGUGCAUAUCUGUUAUUUUCCCCUUACCUUAGCGCCCUGUUCUUUCUCACCUGCCUCACCCACCUGUUAAGAAUUAAAACUAUUGAGCCUUAAAGGGACAGCUCAUUUUUAAAUUGCUAAAGUUUGUGAAAUUGUACUUUUUCCAAGUGUUUCCAACUUUUCUUUAAAAAGUGAAGACAGAUAAUGAGUUGGAAUUUCACAAGCUGUGAAAUUAGCAUCUGGCAAGCUGUGAAAUCUUACUAUUUGAAGACGUUAUCUCCUGGAAAUUCUUUGGGAAUAGGAAAGAAGAACCCUGUUUUUGAAGUAGACCAUUUUUCUCUCUUUAAAAAUCUGUUUAUAUGUUCAAUUUUUAAAUGGCCUUUAAAAAAGUGAGGUGGGGAAAAGUAGUAAUAGAUGUUUAGGACAGCUAAAUGCUGGGUCUGAGUAAGUAUAUAGUCUACUUGUUGCAGGGUUUUGAGAGGAUGAGGCCAUCUUGUUAAACCUGUGUGCAUGCUGUUUAUAUCAAAAUUGCCACUUUUGUUAAAAUGGUGUUAUUUUCUUUAUUAUCUUGGAAACUGACUCAGCCUCAUGUUGCUCCAAAUUAGUGUUUAAGGCUCCCAUAAGUUGCAGAUAAAAGGAUUAUUUUAACAAGUAGAAGGAGGUGAUUCGCCUUUUGGUUUGUAAAUAUAUGAAAGUGUCUGCAAGGUCUUUAUCUGCUUUCUGUCAGCAUUUAUAUUAAAUGAUAAAUUAAUGAGGAGAA